CUCACACGCUCUUGAUAAAUAUAAAUAUCUAGAUGAAGAAUUGUCAAAGUUUGGGUAAGAAAAACAGUCCUUGCUCCUGCAGUUCUCUCCUUCCCAGGCUGGGUUGUCUGCCCUCCAUGCAGAGCACACUUUGCAGGCAGAGGGGGGACCACACCAAGCUACAGCAAAACCUUCUCCAGAGCAGCCAUGAGAAUGUUCAGCACCUCCACUCCUGGGCUGGCUGGAUUAUUAAAACAACAUUUCCACUUCCAACCUACAGCUAAAAAGCUUCACCCCAAGAGCUUCGCUGCCCAAAAGAGGCCGUGCUGCAAAGCCACCUCAAAAGGCCCAGAACACCUGGUUUCAGGCACAACAGGAAGAUCAGAACAUACCUUAUCAUAAAUAUGCAUAUGCGAGGCAGGAGCCCGCCACCUUCUUGGAGUGAUGCCAUAAUUGACGGAACAAAGUACAACAAAACUUCACAUCACUGGUGGAUCAGAAGAACAGAGGAGAGCUGCUGAAAUGGCAAGCAGAGGCCGGUUCCAGAUAUUGCUCUGGGUCUGUGAGAGGAAAGUGAUGCAGAGGAGUCUAAUUCAU